GACGCUCCGGAGCUGAAGAGACGCAGCGCCGAUCCCCGGGAUGGCUCAGCCGGAGGGCGAGAUGGGGGGUCGCGGCCGUGGAGCUUGAGCCUGAGGUUGCCUGUGUCCAGAACACCUGUUGAGAACGUCUGGGCCCAAACUCUGGUGCUCAGACUAACAUGGUUGGCUGGAAGAAGGGGCUCUGAGAAGAUGAUCAUGGUCUGCAUGCUGGAAGGAGCCAAGGAGUGGAAGACGACAAUGAGCAGCAUCCGACAGGAGAUGACCGUGAUGGUGGACUCGACAGACAAGAGCUAUGUCGAGCAAGGUGCAAACUGCGGCUAGAUGUUCUCGUUCAUGGACACGCACAAUCUGAACGGGAGAGGUGGGUCAGCCGAGCUCAGCUAAUACCUUCCCACACCGGCAUCUGUGAUCCAGGUACAAGGCAUUAUUUUAGGACGCUGAGAAUUAGGUUGAUUAUAUGAAGUACAAAAGGAGUGGGGAGUAUGUGCCUGGUGAUCUCAGGGACCCAAAGUAAAUGCUGUGAUGUGUGCCUGACUGUGGUUCACAGUUCUUCUGGCUUCAAGGUCAGAGGUUUCUUUACCAUGUGAAAUCCAUGUCCGCAAUCUUCCACUUACCCUGGCCGCAUAAUCAAGAUCUUGGUCAGCGUGGGGAUGGAAUAAAAGUGUAAUUACUAAUACA
rnacentral:lncRNA from 1 species